AUUGAACGCUGGCGGCAGGCCUAACACAUGCAAGUCGAACGAGUGGCGGACGGGUGAGUAAUGUAUGGGAAACUGCCUGAUGGAGGGGGAUAACUACUGGAAACGGUAGCUAAUACCGCAUACCAUUGGAGGUGCCCAGAUGGGAUUAGCUAGUAGGUGGGGUAACGGCUCACCUAGGCGACGAUCCCUAGCUGGUCUGAGAGGAUGAACAGCCACACUGGGACUGAGACACGGUCCAGACUCCUACGCGAGGCAGCAGUGGGGAAUAUUGGACAAUGGGCGAAAGCCUGAUCCAGCCCUGCCGCGUGUGUGAAGAAGGUCUUCGGAUUGUAAAGCACUUUAAGUUGGGAGGCGUUACCAACAGAAUAAGCACCGGCUAACUUCGUGCCAGCCGCCGCGGUAAUUC
rnacentral:rRNA from 1 species